AUGCUCACUAUGGUCACUGAAGAAACCAAAUCAAUGAAGCAAAUAAAUGAGGAAUGCAUCAUAAACCACCUCCCAGGGGACCUCAUUGAGCGGGUCUUUUUGAGGCUUCCAGUGAGCACUCUGUUGACGUGCGUCGGAGUCUGCAAGCAUUGGCACAACAUCAUCCGGGAUCCACAGUUUGUUGCAUUGCACCUCCAGUGUGCGCCAAGUUAUGCCCUUGUGUUCUUCCCGCCAGGUUUGGUUUCAGGGAAGCACUACCCUAGCGAUGCUGUCCUAAUUGAUGAAGCCUGGUCGCCAUCGACAUAUACAGUGCCAGUGAUUGGGCCUGGUGAUUUCCUUUUUGGUUCAUGCAAUGGCCUUCUUGGCUUAUACACAAAGACAUCAAUGAUCAAGAUAGCUAACCUUGCAACUGGUGAAUGUCUACAUCUUGGGAAACCUGUGAAGAAUCUGAAAGGUGAUCAUUUCUGUUUCUAUAGCUUUGGAUUUCAUCCCGUGACAAAAGAAUACAAGAUUACACACUUCCUUGGUGAUUGCAUUAAUGGUCGUCCCCAUAAUAAAGACAAGUUCAACAUCAUUCAAGUUUACACGCUUGGUGAUGAGAAAUGGAAAGAUAUCCAAACUCCAGAAGCUCUUAGCUUGAUCAGUGUGAGAAACUCUGGAGUUGUCAAUGUUGAUGGAAAAAUGUAUUGGUUAACUGAAGACAUGUCAGCUAGCUGGCAGCAUGCAGUUAUGUCCUUUGAUAUCAGGGAAGAAAGUUUUGCAAUGAUACAACUGCCAGCAGCACGCGAAGAUCAUGAUUACUAUGGUUCUCGUAAGUUCUUGAUCAGAGAUAUAGAUGGGAAAAUAUGUAUAGUGACUGCUCAAACUAGUCGUUAUGAUGCCAGAACUCUUGUCGGUGAGCUGCAGAUCUGGGCACUUGACAACAUGGUAGAGCAAAGGUGGAGCCAGAAGUACAACAUUAAGUACCCACCAGAUUACAUUCUGGGUCCACGUUUUGUUCACAGGGAUAGAAUCCUCACACAACGUGGCCACAAUAAUGUAUGUUCGUACGAGUUGCUUGGUGAGAACUUCGAGAUUGAUUCAAGUAAGAUGGUGAAGCUGUUAGAUUUUAGUCCCUGCAGGCACAACUUGCAAUCUCACAACUGUGUGAAGUCACUUGUACGUUUAGAUGUAUACAAGAAUGCUAAGAUUGUGUGUAGGCCAAAACAGCGGGAAGGCUGGGAAUUGAACAAGUGGGAGGCGUGGGAGCGUGGGCUCUCUGAGAAUGAAAAAUUGCGGAGUGUCAUUCACCAAGUUGAGCUUAAUGGAAUUGCAUGUGCACAACAAAAUGGCAUAUGGUUCAAUGAUAUACUGCAACAUAUAUUGGAUGAUGCGAUUCGACGGGAAAUAGGCAUGAAAAUCGAUCAAAUAUUUCCAAACUUUCCAGACCAGCAGACAAGACCCCUCCGGCAUCUUAAUUGUGUGGCACAGAAGCUGGAUCAGGACAAUUUAAUUGCUCGUAUUAAUAAUAGUGAGACUAUUAUAAAGGCUAUGAUUCAGACAACAAAUAGUAUCUUUGACAUGAUUGAUAGUGCUGUAGAUGACCAGAUUGGUGCUUCGAGUACAAAUGCUGGCAUUUCUUCUCAGAAUCACAGCGAGGGCGAUGACGCGAAGACUUGA
rnacentral:rRNA from 1 species